AGCGCAGGCGGUUUGCUAAGUCGAAAGUGAAAAUCCGUGGCUCAACCUCGGACCUGCUUUCGAUACUGACAGACUCGAGUACGCGAGAGGAAAGUGGAAUUCCAGGUGUAGCGGUGAAAUGCGUAGAUAUCUGGAGGAACACCAGUGGCGAAAGCGACUUUCUGGCGCGUUACUGACGCUGAGGCUCGAAAGCGUGGGGAGCGAACGGGAUUAGAUACCCCGGUAGUCCACGCUGUAAACGUUGUGCACUAGGUGUGGGAGGUAGUUGACCCCUCCCGUGCCGUAGCUAACGCAUUAAGUGCACCGCCUGGGGAGUACGGUCGCAAGACUGAA
rnacentral:rRNA from 1 species